UAACAGGAUUCCCCUAGUAACUGCGAGUGAAGCGGGAAAAGCUCAAAUUUAAAAUCUGGCGGUCUUAUGGCCGUCCGAGUUGUAAUCUGGAGAAGUGUUUUCCGCGUCGGACCGUGUACAAGUCUCCUGGAACGGAGCGUCAUAGAGGGUGAGAAUCCCGUCCAUGACACGGACCGCCGAUGCUUUGUGAUACACUCUCGAAGAGUCGAGUUGUUUGGGAAUGCAGCUCAAAAUGGGUGGUAAAUUCCAUCUAAAGCUAAAUAUUGGCGAGAGACCGAUAGCGAACAAGUACCGUGAGGGAAAGAUGAAAAGCACUUUGGAAAGAGAGUUAAACAGUACGUGAAAUUGUUGAAAGGGAAACGCUUGAAGUCAGUCGCGUCUUUCAGAACUCAGCCUUGCUUCGGCCUGGUGUACUUUCUGUUAGACGGGUCAACGUCAAUUUCGAUCGGCGGAGAAAGGUUGAGGGAAUGUAGCGUUGUUUCGGCGACGUGUUAUAGCCCUCUUCUGUAUACGUCGGCUGGGAUUGAGGACCGCAGCGCGCCUUUAAUGGCCAGGGGUUCGCCCCAUGUACCGCGCUUAGGAUGUUGGCAUAAUGGCUUUAAGCGACCCGUCUUGAAACACGGACCAAGGAGUCUAACAUGCUUGCGAGUAUUCGGGUGGAAAACCCUUGUGCGUAAUGAAAGUAAAAGUUGGGAGCCUCCGCGAGGGGGUGCACCGACGCCCGGCCCUGACGUUCUCUGACGGUGCUGCGGUAGAGCAAGUAUGUUGGGACCCGAAAGAUGGUGAACUAUGCCUGAAUAGGGCGAAGCCAGAGGAAACUCUGGUGGAGGCUCGUAGCGAUUCUGACGUGCAAAUCGAUCGUCAAAUUUGGG
rnacentral:rRNA from 1 species